CUUGAAAUCUUCAGAAAAAUGCAUAUAAUGCCCUUUGUCGAAGCAAUUCGACUGUGACACCAGAGGCACUAUGAAAUAGGCGCUUUGGACCUGGGGGCAGUACCCAGCACCUCCACCAAUACCAAUUAUGGGGGUGAAAUAGGAUUGACAGGGUGUAGUAAAGAUAGAUUGCUGUGUCCGGUGAGAUACCACCGUUAUCGGUUCAACUUAAAAUGAAUGCUAACGAUAAUAACGUAGCACCCGUUGCAAUGGCCGCUUAAUUGCAGUCGCAACAAACUAAAUUCUUUUAGCUUUGGUUAGCUAAGAGUGGGGCUGUCGGGACUUGCCCAGCAACAGGAAAGUCC
rnacentral:tmRNA from 1 species